GCUUUGGAAGGAGAUAGGUGGCUUCAUCAUAGAUGUGACUAUGCUGUAAAAAUAUUUAAUGUGUACAGCAUGAUUGCUAGCCAGUUGGCUAGAAGGGCAUUGAUGCAAAAGGCCAGCAUGUUAGCCGACCAGGCUAUACUUUGAAAGCCCAGUGCCUAACAGUGAACGCAAAAUUAAAUCCUCGUUUCAAAGGAUGAGGAGCAGUUAGGUUUGUUUUUUUUUAAUUUGUAGGACAUAUAAAGUGACCUGCUGUCAGGCAGAGGAAAUGAAAGAAGGAUGAGACAGACAACUGGAAGUGCAGGUGGUUUUACUGCUUUUGUGAUGAAACUGUCUUCUGCCUUUGAUUCCUUUAAGGGGAGCAUGCAGUUCAGCAAACCCCUACUUUAUUUCAGUGCAUGCAAAGAUUACGGCGGCAUCCAAAGGAAGAACAAAUGGAAGUGAGAUUUUAGGGUCACAACAGAUAAAUGCCCUUGAAAGCACAGCUCUGAUUCCAUGGAAAGAGUGAAACAGGCAGGCUGAGUUUUGUCUGGUGCAGCAGUGAGUUCCUGUUCCAGCCUGAGGAGAUCGGUUCCCAAAACGUCCCUGAUGACCUGUGAAGCUUCUCUGUCAGUGGAAACAACAAGAAGGGGUGAGUGACCUAUAGCAUCACCUGCCUUUGCUUUCAGUGACAGAUGCUAAUGCACAGCAUCCUGCUGCAUAGAGGGAGGCGUAACUCACACUUUUGCCUCCCAAAGUGCUUCCAGCCAAAUGCCUGUCAUUAUCAAUACAGCUGUCAUGCUUAUCCUUGUGGGUAAGAGCUAAUGGUGGGU
rnacentral:lncRNA from 1 species